CUGGUGAUAUUCCAGUCCCACCUACAAAGGCACAUCGUCCCGUGCACUAUUGCAAUCAGCGAUGUCUUGAUAAGCAAGAAAAACGUGAUCAAAUUAAUGGAAGACAUUUCCGUGCCCGUUGCUAUAUCCACGACCGCAGCGUUGGCUUUAAUCACUACUGACGGUCAACACACGGAACGUGGAAGCCGCUGCGCGGGCAUGACCCUUGUUAAGCGUUCCACUGUAUGCGCGCUCAUGAAAGGUGCAGAUCAAGACGGACACAGCGUCCCUCCCUCGUUCUCCAACACGGUUGUCAUCGAAUAUAUCUC